rnacentral:tRNA from 2 species
GGACAGAUGGCCGAGCUGGUUAUGGCGCCAGGUUAAGGUUCUUAACGUAAAUUUCCUGGUCACGAAAGUGGCGUGGGUUCGAGUCCCACUCUGUUCA